GCGCUCGCUCGCGGCCUUAGCGUCACGGCGCCGCGCGUGCGCGGGGGGCGGGCCCGGCGAUGUCGCCGCGCGCCCUUCUGGGACUUGUAGUCUCGGCGCUGGUCGGGGCCCGCAGCCUCCGCACUGCGAGUCCUAGGAGAUGGGGACUUGGCUCAACGUCCUGGCUCGGCGCCCGGGCUUGGCGAGGAGCAUGUGGAAGAGGGGACAGAUGAAUACCCCAUCUUCCUGCUCUCCAUCAGUCCGCCCUGGUGUGAUGUGCCUAAGCAGUUCCGAGUAAUCUUCCUGGAAAAAAUAAAUAGGCAACUGCGAUGAGUUUGUGCAAGGAUCCUAAUGGUAAUGAAUAAUAAUAACACACCACUGACAGCGAACGCUGAGUGUUCACUGCGUGCUAGGCACCAUGCAGAGGGUUUCCCCUCACAUGUACUUUAGGGGUAGAAAGAGGGACAAAGAGGAAAGUCUAUUAGGUGCAGAUCUGUGAACUCUGAAUAGGCCAUCCACCAUCUGAGACUCAGAAACCUGCAGGGACCUGGCCGAUGGGCAGGCUGCAUGCUGGCUGCACCAUGAGUCAGCACCAGACUGGGAGACGCAGCCACUCAGGGAUCCAAGGGACUCAAACAUCUGCAACCUGGCCCCAGGCCAAGAGAACAAACUGCAGGCUCCGGAUUUGCGGCCCUGUAGGAUAGGCUCAAAAUGAAACAUGUUUGUUAUUUCUAAGUGGAUGGGAACUGAAAGAACCCGAACAAUCAGUGUACAAGGAUUCAUGAAUGGACCAAACAUGCUUGCUUUUUGUUCUUGAAAGAUGUUUGUUGUAUUUAAUAUAUAACGAGAAGAGUGGUCAACGCUGACUGGGUGCUGAGCACUUUAAGUGCAUUACCUGGGUGGCUGGCUGGGCUGUGCCAGGGUUGAAGGGUGUGGGGAGCUUCUUUCAAGGUGCCCCUUCUGCCUCCUGGCACAGGACUCUGGCUCCAGCACACCCCAAGCUGACCCUGGUGGGGGUAGGGCCCCUCACCCAAACCUGGCCUCUCCCGUCUCUUGUUCUGCUGCCUCAGCUUUCUCCUGUCUGUGGUAGAGUCUGCUUGGACAGACUCUGGGCAGGGCAGGGGGCAGGGCAAGCUGGAGAGAGAAUUCGUUCUAGGUUGAUGUGGGAUGAUAGUGGCUGGUAGGGCGCUUGUAUCCUAUUGGAAAUCCAUGAUGAGAUCCCAUUCAUUCCCACCCUUCUCUUAACAAUGUCUCCUUAAGUCCAAGUCUCAAGUCGGGUGCCCAGUUUCAUACCAUCCUUCCUCUCCCUCUCACAACCUUCGGGCAGGACCAACCCCCUCAGAGGAACCCCUGCUGCCCCAGCCCUUUCAGGCUCUGUGCCCAGGAUCUCCCCUCCACUCCCUGGAAAUUCCACAUUUGGCCAGGUGUGGUGGUGCACACCCUUGUUCCCAGCUACUCAAAAGGUUGAGGUGGAGGUCGAGGCUGCAGUGAGCUGUGAUCUCACUACUGCACUCCAGCCUGUGCAAGAGAGUGAGACCCCG
rnacentral:lncRNA from 1 species